UACGGAGGGGGCAAGCGUUAUUCGGAAUUAUUGGGCGUAAAGGGCGCGUAGGCGGCUCCGUAAGUCAGGGGUGAAAUCCCUCGGCUCAACCGAGGAAUUGCCUCUGAAACUACAGAGCUUGAGCCCGGGAGAGGGUGGUGGAAUUCCCAGUGUAGCGGUGAUAUGCGUAGAUACUGGGAGGAACACCAGUGGCGAAGGCGGCCACCUGGACCGGUACUGACGCUGAGGCGCGAAAGCGUGGGGAGCAAACAGG
rnacentral:rRNA from 1 species